ACAAGCGAACCCAUUGUGAUACCACCCACACGCUAAUCGAACCAUUUUGUGGAGUAUGCAAAGCUAAACAGUUGCCGAAUCUUUCUUAGAUCGCCAAAGAUUGCUACCACUUGUGGCUUCAACCUGCUGCUCCAAAGUGUGGGGCAUUCGCAGAUGAAGUGUCUUAAAUUUUCAAGUUUCCUAGCUGCAACUUCUGAGGAAAUCAUUAGAUCGUACGCCCUACCUCUCCGUCCUUUUAGAAGGCAUUUAACUGUAGACAUCUCCUUUCUUUUCAGCUCAAUAAAGUUGCGUGACGUUCUUCUGUUAAAUUAAAUUGAAAUAUUAAAUUCUCUAUUAUUUGUAUAAAUGUUUCACGUCAAAAUUUGAGUUUCUGUUAUUUCAGCGGCUGUUUUAUCUGCCACUAAAACGUAAAUACGAACACCUCAAAUUUUCAAUGGUUCCCUUACGGAUACAAAGCGCCUAGUGUAUAAACAUAUAAUGACUAGCUGGUCCCUGCAAGGCUUCGCUGUCGCGCAUACUCAUUGAAUAUAUGGAAAUUUAGUUAUGGGAUAUCUUUUUAUCAUAACUUUAUUUACAGAACAGGCCGGUCUGCGGUUCACUUUCCGGAGAAAAUAGUAGUCGGAUUUUUUUCUUAAUUGAUCGGAUCCUGGUCCACUCCUUGGAGGUCGCUGGUCCACUUACCGAAAAAUUUUUCGCAAAAUCUUUCCAGGAAUAAUAGAGGCAAUUUUACAAAAUUUCGAGUCAAUCGAUGGGUAACUUUUGAAGAUUUUUGGAGAUUACUGGAUUUUUCCAACCGAAAAAAAACAGAUAUAGAAGAUAAAUGUGUUAUUAACAUAUUGGGAUAUCCAAAAUUAAAAAUUAAAUGAUAAGAAAUGAGAUUUAAAACCUAA